CUUUGAAAGUUUAUUUGUGCGAUGUUAAUCGCCUGGAACUAUCAGAAGUAAUCCAUAAAGUUUUAUGAUGUUAAGAAAUAUAUAGAAGAAACCUUGUGGUGCUAACUUAGCCUAUAUUUGGGGACACUUGCUUUUAUCAGCUGUUUGGACUCUCAUUAUAACGACACCCAUCCACUGCAAAGGGAUCCACUGUUUCUCUUUUAAAACAAAGAAGCCGGAUGUGUAAGUCAAAUGCGAAGAAAGGAACCGCCUGUGGAUCUGAAUCAUGAACAGAGAGGGCCCUGGGGUAUCCCUUCAAGCUGCAUGGGAAUUUGUCACAGGGGCCACGUUUCGACCGUUGACAUGAAGCUGUGACAGCCCUGAUCAUCCAGAUUUUCUUUUCUGCAUCUCAUUUAAUAAUUCAAGCUUUAAGUAAGGAGCCUCACUAGCUCAAGGUGAAAAACCAAAGGAUGUUGGAGCAGAAACCAGUU